GCCUGGGUGGCUCAGUCGGUUGAGCGUCCGACUUCGGCUCGGGUCACGAUCUCGCGGUCCGUGGGUUCGAGCCCCGCGUCGGGCU
rnacentral:tRNA from 1 species